UCUGCCCACAAGAUUGGAAGCAGGUGAGAUAUACAGAGGAAAUCCACUGCCCCAUGGGGGUGGGGUGGUCUGAGGGACCAGGGACCCGCGGGGAUAGGGCUGGUUUACAGAUCAGCGCAUGGACAUCUUCCAAGAAAGUGACAAAGACGGCAAAGUUGGAGGUCUGGAAAGCGGAGACCGACGGGGCUGACUACCUGGGAGCACCGAAACUCGGGACAGCGCCUCUCGGGGUCCAGGAAGGGAACGCGAUCUGCUUCAGCACCAGGGCUCCGGACAGCUUCCAGCGGGGUUCGCGGGCCGGUUUCAUUUCAGCGCCAGGAAACCGGACAGCUUCCCUGAUCAGCAGGUGAAAUGAAACCGCACACGUAAAUCUGUAAUUCCCAACAGGUGAGAUGGCCAGCCGGUAGGACUGUGGGGGAACGCGCGCCUGCUGAGAUGACGUUGCUGUGCUCUUUCCAGACUUCUGUAAAGAAGCAUUGUGCCAAGCGUUUUAUAUACAUUAUAUGCCAUCCUCAACCCUAGGAUGUGGGUGUUAUUAUGCCCAGGUGACACUUGAGGAAACAGACCCAGAAAGUGGCAGAGAUAUAACUAGCCCGAAGGGGAACCAGAAACGGGAAAUAGGAGGCCGUGGAGAAGCAGGAAGCCCGGAUGUUAUGGCUUGGCUCAGGCCAGGAAAUACAAAGUAUCCAACUCUGAACCCAGGGUCCGUAACCGUCUUACUACACUUUCCUGGGGAAAUCAAUGAAGGAAUGGCAUUUGAAGCCCUCCCUAGACCAGAAUUCUUUGGAGACUUCUCAAUAACAUUUCCUGGAAUGAUAUUUUUCUCCUCCAUCAUGCCAUCAGUUCCAUGGACCCAUUAUAGGACAAGUGUAAAUUUGUGCCUGGUAGGUGAGUUGUGACCUCAACAAGACUCACCCCCAAUUCCCUGUGACAUCCUAAUCAAGUCACAGACACCACAGCAAGCUCAUUCUAGCCCUAGAGCGUUUGCCAUUCCCUCAGCUUGGAAAGCUCUGCCCCCCCCCCACCGCCAGCACCUCACCACUCACUCUACCUUCUUAUCCAAGUUUCAUGUCAUCGAGAGAAGUUUUCCUUUUUGCCUUGCACCGCCCGCCCCCAUGUCAAGUCUAUAUUAUACAAUCUCAUAGACCUAGGAUAUCCUCUCUCCCACACUUCAGUUACUUUUGUUAUUUGUCUGCAGGACUGUCUGCGUCCCCAUUACACUGUGAGCUCCAUGAAGGCAGAGACUGUGUUUGUAUUUUCACUGCUGUGUCUCCAGCACCCAGUUCAGGACCUGGCACACAGCAGGUGCUCAAUAAACAUUUGUUGAAUCAAUAAAGGCAUCAGAGAAUAAACCAAUAUAUCAAUCAAUAAGUGAAUUGAUGGCUU